AAGACUUUAUGUUAAUAAAACAAAUAGCCUUCAAAGCUAUAAAUAAAAGUUCAACCCUUUUAAGUCUUA
rnacentral:tRNA from 1 species